rnacentral:lncRNA from 1 species
GCCACCACCAGAAUUCGCCAUGCGACGGUUUUUGAUCACCAAACCUUGUCAAAAUCGCACCAGAUGCUCUCCUCAAUUCCUUCUUCACGAAUAUUUAUUUCUUACACCACAAAUACAACCAAAAUUCCCGUAACUCCAGAUCAGAAAGCCCGAACCCUAGCGCUGCCUACUUUCUCCGGUGGCGGCGCUGACCCCAAACCAC